CAUCCUUGCCCUGCCAUGUCUCGCCGGAAGCCUGCGUCGGGCGGCCUCGCUGCCUCCAGCUCAGCCCCUGCGAGGCUACAGAAAUUGACAGAAGAAAGAAGAGACCAUUGGAAAAUGAUGGGCCUGUUAAAAAGAAAGUAAAGAAAGUCCAACAAAAGGAAGGAGGAAGUGAUCUGGGAAUGUCUGGCAACUCUGAGCCAAAGAAAUGUCUGAGGACCAGGAAUGUUUCAAAGUCUCUGGAAAAAUUGAAAGAAUUCUGCUGCGAUUCUGCCCUUCCUCAAAGUAGAGUCCAGACAGAAUCUCUGCAGGAGAGAUUUGCAGUUCUGCCAAAAUGUACUGAUUUUGAUGAUAUCAGUCUUCUACACGCAAAGAAUGCAGUUUCUUCUGAAGAUUCGAAACGUCAAAU
rnacentral:lncRNA from 1 species